GUACACCAAGUCCCUGUGGCGCAGAGGAUAGCGCGUUGGACUUCUAAUCCAAAGUUACUUUCGACUUGGAACGAAAAUAUCCCGAUGCACAGCAAACGUAAAAAUAGUGAAUACGAAGGUGAAUAGACUUGGUUUGAAUAUUGCUGGUAUAUUUAUGAUCAAGUAUUAUUAUACCAAGCUAAUGUAAUGAUAUAUUACAAUGGAACCAGACAAAUAAUUACCAUUCAACAAUUAUGGUAUUUAUUUUUUCACCUUUUUACCUUAAUUAUUAAUUGAAUUCUAGUCUUUAUCGCUAUCAGAAAAUGUGCAAAAUUUAUAUUAUUUUUAUCUUGAAGUGUUAUUCUCGAAAAUCGUAGAAAUGACGAAAUUUUGUUAUUAUGAAAUUAUGUAUAUACUAAUACUAGAUUCUUGCUUCGUGCAUUUUAUCUGUACUACAGCUGCCAAACGUUACAGAAGAUUGCGACGUCUUCUUUUCCAAGAAUCUAUAAUUUCUUCCAAGAUCUUUUUCCCAGAACGUAUGUACAUUAUAAUAGGUCUCACAAUCAGUACAAGAGUUAUGAAAAGAGAAGUUACCUAUUCUCGAACAUUUUAUUAUAGAAGAUCUGUUUGCAAUGUUCAUCUUUUAAUUUAAGAAAGUGGUAUGUUGUAACUUUUCUUUAUUUUAGCGAUAUAUAUAUCAAACAUAGUUACUAUGAUCCUUUUCAAUUUUUCAAGAAGGAAGAAGCAGUGUUGUAACAACCGACUCAAUUAAAAGCCACGAAGCGAAAGAACCAGAAGCAGAUGAGACAUUCAACGAGUAAACGAUUCAAAGACCCCGAUGAUUAAAGGGAUACAAACGAUAUCAAUUAAUUGCUUGGCUUCUAAAUAGACCGUUAGAUUAAGCGUAUCAUCGAUUCUGCUUCUACAGAGCAGGUGUUAUCAUUUAUUACAAUUUAAGAUAUCCUCGGUGUCACGUUGUAUAAUUUAACACAGAUUUUCGUACAAUACGAUAUUUGUAAUAAGUAUUAACGUUAUUAGUCGAUACUUGGAAAUUUCAACUUUUUUAAACAUUGUAAGCCUUUAUGUUCUAUCAAUCUUGAGUCGAACGUUAUGUAAAGGUGACUCAGAUCGAUUAAAGAAAUCAAUUACAAACGACUAGUUGCAAACAUAGGAUCGACUAAUUAAUGCCAUAUCCGUUGUUACGUAAUGAUCAUUUGAUUGCCAUUGUGUCUUUUUAAACAGCGAGAUAAAUAAAUGUAAAAUAAGCUGUACUCCAAUGUUCGCUUAUGAUAUUAUAUUUUUAACACGAUAGAACUAUCAUGC